ensembl:lncRNA STX17-DT STX17 divergent transcript
CCGCCCCCGCCCCGCAGGGCCCCCAGGCCGGGCGCUGGGGGCGCACAGGCAUACAGAUUCUCUCUCCUCACCACGCGGCUGCUGCUGGAGGAUGGAGGAGGGGUGGUGUCAGCAAUUCAAGACUGUCUUUCCUACCCUCUUCAGUGCCCUUCCUUGAUAAGCUGUUUAAACCAGAACCGACUGUUUCUGGAAAAGGUAAACAUCUAUUCUCCAAAGGGCAGUGACUUUCUACCUGUGAAAAUAAAAAGUAAACUUCAGAAGAAAAUUCUGAAAGAGGAAUUUAGAGAUGUUCCAAAUAAAGGCAAUAUAGUUUCACUGGAACUGAAAUGUUGCCUUCCAAUUCUACUACAGAAGGCAGAGUGGCACAUGUGGCACCUGGUCAGGAUGGACUCACUAAAGGAUUUAACCCAGACUUCUGAUCAACAAAUAUUGCUGCUACAUUAACUGAUUCGCAACAAAGAAAGAAAAUAUCAUCCAGUUGAUUUUAUUAUUUAAAUAUGGGCUCAAAUCUUAAAUCUGACAAACUAAUAAAUAAAUAUGUCUGAAAAGUAAAUAGUAAAUGGUGAACUGGUAUGGCUGAGGCAUUUGUACUGAACCCAUGCUGCUUCCUGGAGAUCACUGCAUUCUUUUCUGUGCUCAGUAAUCUACUUAAACUAUGUCAGAGAUUCGCCUGAGACUUACUUUCCUGUCCUUUCUGGCUCAUAUUAUUUCUUUAUUUAGAAAAUCAGAACAUUUGUUUGUUUUUAGGGUUCAAGCACCUCUUCUCAUCUCUAUAAUGUCUCCAAAUGUCUCAGAGGAUCCCUAACACUAUCUGUGUUUCUUGCACAUUAUGGUAUAAUUUAUCUGUGUCUAGAGAUCUGAAGUCAGGCAAAGUAGUUAAGGGCACUCUUUCUUCUUCCUCAUGUAUCUUGAGACACAGUUCUCUGCUCUUGUGGUUUGUCUGACCCUUUUGAGUUCCUGUUAUGCUUCCAUUUGCACCAGAAGACAAUGGAAAUCAAGUGAAAUUAAAUAUAAAAUGUCAGAACUAGAAACGCUAUUAGAUCAAGUUUAGAUAAAGAAAUGAGAGGGAUUUAAUCUGCUUUGUUCCUUACUAAGACAUGUACAUGGGGCUGUAUCCAAGAUAAAGCUAUGAAACACUUGAAACACUAACUCCCCUUGUACUGAGUCUAUGCUUAUGUGCAACAGACUUUUGAUAGUAAUUUGGCUUUCUGUGUAGAUCCACCUAUAGAUAAAAAAAAAUACUUACCGGAAGAUCCAAGACCCAGUUAUAAGUUAAUAGAUGAACUUCUAAUUUAUACAUCAGAGCUUGUUAGUGGAUGUCUAUCUGGGGGUCGGAGAGAGGGAGAGAUUGAUCCACUGUCAUUAUGCUGCUACAUCAGGUUCCUGAGAUAUAGCCCUUGGAACAUGGAGAUCACACCAGGGUACUGCCCCUUCAAAGCCUCUUUGGGCACCUAGCAACCCUUCUCCAUGGUGUACUUUGACUCCAUCUUGUUGCUAGUUGUCCACAAAUGCCUGUUCUGUGAGAUGGUCCACCUCUUGGUUUGUAAGGCCAGACAGACAUAAGCACAGCUACUUCUCAAGAGGCUGUUACUGACCACAAUAGGUCUUUUCUGUUUUGUUUUGUUUUGUUUUGUUUUGAGACAGAGUCUCAC